rnacentral:rRNA from 1 species
UACGUAGGCAGCGAGCGUUGUUCGGAGUUACUGGGCGUAAAGGGUGUGUAGGCGGUUGUUUAAGUUUGGUGUGAAAUCUCCCGGCUCAACUGGGAGGGUGCGCCGAAUACUGAAUGACUUCGAGUGCGGGAGAGGAGAGUGGAAUUCCUGGUGUAGCGGUGAAAUGCGUAGAUAUCGGGAGGAACACCUGUGGCGAAAGCGGCUCACUGGACCACAACUGACGCUGAGGCGCGAAAGCUAGGGGAGCAAACAGG